rnacentral:rRNA from 1 species
UACGGGGGGUGCAAGCGUUGUUCGGAAUUAUUGGGCGUAAAGCGCGUGUAGGCGGUUUGUUAAGUCUGUUGUGAAAGCCCUGGGCUCAACCCAGGAAGUGCACUGGAUACUGGCAGACUUGAAUACGGGAGAGGGCAGUGGAAUUCCUGGUGUAGGAGUGAAAUCCGUAGAUAUCAGGAGGAACACCGGUGGCGAAGGCGGCUGCCUGGACCGAUAUUGACGCUGAGACGCGAAAGCGUGGGUAGCAAACAGG